ACAUUUCAACCAAAGAAGCUCACAAAGUCCUUUAACCAUGCCUCUAAAUGCAACCUCUGCACUCGACAACACAAUUACCUUUUCCUUCUUACAUCUCCAAGUGACUAGGUUUCCACCAACAAAGGUGAAAUAUCCUCAUGUAGAUUUUCUGUCAGUGAUACUUCCAGCCUAGUCGACAUCCGUAUAACCAUCAAAACUUGAAUGAUUAUAUUUCCUAAACAUAGGUCCCUUUGCAGGAGAAGACUUUAAGUACCUUAGAAUUCGAAGUACAACAUCCAUGUGUUCCUCGCUAGUACCAAGCUGAUGGCACAGGCAAUAUCUGGCCGUGUAUGAGACAGGUAAAUCAAUUUUCCUACGAGCCGUUGAUACCUUUCUUUGUUUGUGGGUAUCUAGUUUGAGUGUACUCCCAGUCCAUGGUUUUGAACUAUUGGAGUAUCUGAGGGCUUAUAUUCAAGCAUCCUAUUUCAGCUAGCAGAUCAAGUACGUAUUUCCUUUGUGAGAGAAAAAUGCCUUGACUUGAUCGAGCUACUUCGAUUCCCAAACAAGUAUUUUAGUCCUCCCAGAUUCUUCAUCUCAAAUUAUGUUGCCAAAUGCUUAGGCAAAUUAGAUAUCUCCUCUGUGUCGUUCCCUGUAAUUAUCAUGUCAUCCAUAUAAAUAAUUCAAGCAGUUACCAUCCCUCUCCGGUGCUUCAAGAAUAGAGUAUGGCCUGAAUUGCUUUGAUUGAAGCCAUGCUUCCUCAUAGCCAAGCUAAAAUCGUUCAAACCACACUCUUGGUGAUGUUUAUUUUUCUUAUCUUAAUUUGUUCUUGCUAUAAAACUUUCUUUAUCUCAUCCACAUUUUGCUUUUCAUUCUUUCUAGAUACCUUCCGUAUUUGUGUUCAAGCAAAAAACAAAAAGCAAAAAACAAAAGAAUCUUCCAAUUGAGAGAUAUCAAUCAUCAUUUUGUUUUAGCAGAAUUUCAUUCCCAAUACAUUAGAUCUACCUUACUGAUAAAGGUAUGUUUAAGAAUUUUUUCUAAUUUGUUCGUGCUAUAUAACUUUCUUUAUCUCAUCCACGAUUACCUUUUCUUUCCUUUCAGAUACCUUCCGUAUUUGUGCUCAGGCAAAAACAAAAAACAAAAAAACCUCCCAGUUGGAUAGGAGUCAUUGUCUUGUUUUAGCAGAACAUCAUUCCCAAUACUUAAGAUUCUUCUACCUUACUGAUAAAGGUUUGGUGGGGUUGAAAGCACUGAGCAUCCUAUCUAGCCUGUCAUCGAAAGAAUUGAACCAGGUGUUCUAUCAAGUUUUCUUGAGUUAGAAGAACUUGAUAUGGCAGGUUGAGUUGCAGUUGAAUGGGAAGUCGAAAAUGAAGUAGAACAGAGGAGAGAUGUCUCACUUGCUGAACUAGAGGUGAUGCAAAAUUUGACCACGCUAAGAAUUAUCAUCUCUGACAGAUUUAUACCAAAAGAUGGAAGUCUUCCAGAUAGUGUGGUGCAGUUCAGAUGCAGAGCAUGCUGUGUAUUGGAUUCGCAACAUUGUUGUGGGUGCUGAACAUGUCGUGUUGCGGGAAAGUGUAACAAAAUAUGUAAUUGAUUUAUUGGCUAGCGAAAGUUUCCAGCAAGUGAAGAGCUUAGAUGUUGGCUUCUGUAAUGAAUUGUUGUAUGUUGCAAAUAUGUCGAAUUUGAUCUAUCCCUGCAAGGCUGCAAGUCAAUAUAAUUGUUUUGCCACCUUGAACGCCUUAGCAUCAGAAAUUGUGAGGAAACUGUUUAUUUUCUCUCAAUGCCA